rnacentral:lncRNA from 1 species
UCUUACUAAACUGCCGUAUGCAAUCGCUUAAGUAGCAAAGAUCUUGUUUCUCUCUCAGCCCAGUAAUCCCGGUGACGUCCUUUUGCAGUGAUCCAGGACCCCCUCCCUGGGCAGUGUGAGAACGGGCAGGGACACAGCCCCUGAUGGGACCGCAGAGCCUGGAGCCUUCCCUUCCUUCUGCUGCUCCUGUCCUCGCCCCGUCUCCCAUCACCAACGCUCCAUCUGCGUCCCCCAAAGCAACCAGGCUCCGGCAGCAGCCCUCCUGCAAGCCCGGGGCAAGGAAACAAGCAUUUCUUAUUAUCGGGACAACUGACGUUAUUUCAGCCCAUCACUAAGACUUG